rnacentral:lncRNA from 1 species
AUGUUUAAUGCACAGGAGGAGAACAGGAGCAUCCUGAGAACUUCUGUGUGCAGCAAGAGCCCAGGAUCCCCAGCCAGGGCGGGCGCCGAGGCAGAAGGAGGGGACAGCUUUGUGUGUGGGCCUGAUCCUGCAGCGCUCGGACCCCAGCGAGUCCUGGCGUCACUGCUCCUCCUGGCUCCAGCCGGCUCGCAUGGAAGAAGUUGCAGGAUGAGCCUUAAAAUGGUUGAGAUGAGCAUAUAGUAAACGACAGGAGACUUGUUCUUUAACAGCACCUUAAAGAAACACCGUGUAACUGCACCAGGA